rnacentral:rRNA from 1 species
GACGAACGCUGGCGGCGUGCUUAACACAUGCAAGUCGAACGGAAAGGCCCUGCUUUUGUGGGGUGCUCGAGUGGCGAACGGGUGAGUAACACGCGAGUAAACUGCCCUUGACUUUGGGAUAACUUCAGGAAACUGGGGCUAAUACCGGAUAGGAGCUCUUGCUGCAUGGUGGGGGUUGGAAAAUUUCGGCGGUUGGGGAUGGACUCGGGGCUUAUCAGCUUGUUGGUGGGGUAGUGGCUUACCAAGGAUUUGACGGGUAGCCGGCCUGAGAGGGUGACCGGCCACAAUGGGACUGAGAUACGGCCCAGACUCCUACGGGAGGCAGCAGUGGGGAAUAUUGCACAAUGGGCGGAAGCCUGAUGCAGCAACGCCGCGUGCGGGAUGACGGCCUUCGGGUUGAAAACCGCUUUCGCCUGUGACGAAGCGUGAGUGACGGUAAUGGGUAAAGAAGCACCGGCUAACUACGUG